UAGCUCAGUCGGUAGAGCAUUCGGCUGUUAACCGAAGUGUCGUAGGUUCAAGUCCUACU
rnacentral:tRNA from 1 species